UGAGCGAAAGCUCGACUUAGUCAAGGCCAAAAGAGCCGGUAAAACUCGUGCCAGCCACCGCGGUUAUACGAGGGGCUCAAAUUGAUAUUACACGGCGUAAAGCGUGAUUAAAAAAUAAACAAACUAAAGCCAAACACUUCCCAAGCUGUCAUACGCUACCGGAACAUAAACGAAGCCCUAUAACGAAAGUAGCUUUAACACCUUUGAACU
rnacentral:rRNA from 1 species